AAGCCCGAGUAAACGGCGGCCGUAACUAUAACGGUCCUAAGGUAGCGAAAUUCCUUGUCGGUUAAAUACCGACCUGCAUGAAUGGCGUAACGAGAUGGGAGCUGUCUCAACCAGAGAUUCAGUGAAAUUGUAGUGGAGGUGAAAAUUCCUCCUACCCGCGGCAAGACGGAGAGACCCCGUGGACCUUUA
rnacentral:rRNA from 1 species